rnacentral:rRNA from 1 species
GACAGAGGGUGCAAACGUUGUUCGGAAUUACUGGGCGUAAAGCGCGUGUAGGCUGCUUCGCAAGUCGGAUGUGAAAGCCCUGGGCUCAACCCAGGAAGUGCAUUCGAAACUGCAGAGCUGGAGUCCUGGAGAGGAAGGUGGAAUGCUUGGUGUAGAGGUGAAAUUCGUAGAUAUCAAGCGGAACACCGGUGGCGAAGGCGGCCUUCUGGACAGUGACUGACGCUGAGACGCGAAAGCGUGGGGAGCAAACAGG